UCUGGAACUCUGUGUUCUGCCAGGGACACAGUUUGUGGGGCAGGCCUGAGACCUUCCAUGUAGCUGGUGGGGAGUUGACUAGCUUUGCUUAUGCUCUCAAGUUGAUCCAUACAGUGCCAGAUUAUACCCUAUCAUAAGAGAUAGGGUCCCCUGAACACAAGAAGUCAUCUCCCCUUCUGGGUAGGACUUUGCACCACAUUCUCUUCCCUCUGCCUGGAACAUACCUCCCAACUGCUUUACUCUCUUAAAUCUCACUCAUUACCAUCUAAAACCAUUUUCCUUUCUUAUUGCCUGUUUGCUGUCAUCUCCCACAGGACUGUGAACUCAAGAAAGCAGGAAGUAUGCCUCCCUUAUUCAUCACUGGGUCCCCAGUGCUUAGAACAGUGCCUGGCACAGAGACGGGGCUCUGUAAAGAUCUGCUGAAUGAACACUUUAUCCUCUUACUUCUUAUCCUUCAAGCCUCAGAUGUUCCCCCAGGAUGCCUUCUUCGUUUCCCCAGACUAGUUCAAGCUGCACCUCCGACGUGCUCCCACAGCCCCUGAGCUGCCUCCCUGCAGACGCCAUACCUGCCGUGGCUGCUUGUUUGCUGAGUAGCCUCUCCCACUGAACCCUGGGCAACUUGAGAUAAAUGAAGAUUCUGAGGCCAAAGGAGAAUUGCAGGGAAGAUAAAUCCUGAAAACUUUUCAAACAUUUCAGAAUGCACACUCCCUUUGAAGAGUAAAAAA
rnacentral:lncRNA from 1 species